rnacentral:rRNA from 1 species
AUCCUUAGUAACGGCGAGUGAAGCGGUAAAAGCUCAAAUUUGAAAUCUGGUACUUUCAGUGCCCGAGUUGUAAUUUGUAGAAUUUGUCUUUGAUUAGGUCCUUGUCUAUGUUCCUUGGAACAGGACGUCAUAGAGGGUGAGAAUCCCGUUUGGCGAGGAUACCUUUUCUCUGUAAGACUUUUUCGAAGAGUCGAGUUGUUUGGGAAUGCAGCUCAAAGUGGGUGGUAAAUUCCAUCUAAAGCUAAAUAUUGGCGAGAGACCGAUAGCGAACAAGUACAGUGAUGGAAAGAUGAAAAGAACUUUGAAAAGAGAGUGAAAAAGUACGUGAAAUUGUUGAAAGGGAAGGGCAUUUGAUCAGACAUGGUGUUUUUUGCAUGCACUCGCCUCUCGUGGGCUUGGGCCUCUCAAAAAUUUCACUGGGCCAACAUCAAUUCUGGCAGUAGGAUAAAUCAUUAAGAAUGUAGCUACCUCGGUAGUGUUAUAGC